GUAAGCAGGCAGAGAUCCAAACACACCCAAAAGAAAUAAAGAUGCAUAGCGACUCCACAGACUUCAAGGCCAUGGGAUCUCAGCAGAUGCAGAGGUGAAUUAACCCUGAAGAAUCCCUCUUCGCGCACUGCGGGCACUGUCUAGGCCUUCUUGGGAAACUGAAUUACCCUGAGGUUGCGUGCCUGCCUCAUCCUGCUUUCACUGGACAACAAAUGAACUUUCUCGAGUUCAACUCCUAAAAUG